GUAUCCGCCAGGCAGGGCGUUUGAGCUGAACCUCGCUUUCCCACGGACGCGCCCCGCAUUGCCAAGCUCCACAGCGCCCGCUCAGAGAGAAGGCAAGACUCGCUAGGAGUUGCUCAUCGUGCUACAACUGCAGUCCCGUGCCUCUGAUGUGGCAGCCCUGGAAGACUUGUAGCCCCCAUUACACCCUCUUACAACUCCACUCCAGCUUUGGAGAUGAUCAAGUAGGAGCCUCAACUAGGGAUGGUGAGCCAGAUUGAAGGAUUCCUGUGCCACAGAAAAACCUGAAGUCAGACCGGAAGUAAUAGGAGUAAUUCUGUACCUGGGACAGCUGGGGGCACAGUACGACGAAGAGCAGUGACAGUAGCCAUGGCAAUCUCCUCUGGACUAUACUUGAUGGGACAGGCAUGACCAGGGGUCACCAUGUUGGGCUUGAGCAGAGUCCCUUCCAGGCAGUGAUCCAGGGAACAGGCAGUCCAUUGCUCAUUAUUCGUGGAAGCAAGAGAAUAAGCAAAGAGAAGCAGACAGCCCUGGUUUUAGCUGCAACAGGAGAUGGUGAGGGAUUGUGAAGGAUACCAAGACUGGAGGAGCUGCCUCCCUGAUUUCAUCUGCCCACUCCUACCCCCAAAAUAAGAUCCAGUGGAUGUAAGAAC